AUUGUGCAUUAUACUUUGCAAAAUAGUUACUUUAGUGUUAAUUAGUGUUUCAAAGAUCGCGUGCUUCUUUUCUUUUUUCAUUAAAUAUUGUUUUAAAUAAUAUAAUUAACAAGUAAUAUUCUUUUUUAUUAGAAGUAAAGACCAAUAAAAGCAAUAAGUUUAAAUCAACCGCGGUUUCAUGUUACUUGUUACCUGCCUAUGAAUCCCCAGUUCAGUUGUCGAUCAAUGAUCCUCCUCGCGCUGUUAGUAUCGAGCACUUUUCUUGAAAUCAACAACUUGGUGUCUGUAUAUUUACAUUUCUUUACGUUUUUCAAGUUUCAGCGAUGUAAUAAAAUCCUAUACAAUGUACCCAAGAGAAAUCACUGGAGAUUAAAUGAAUCAGACGUGAAACAAUGAUACGUAAGACUCUAAGAGAUGGUUUUCUAAGCACUGGAGCAGUUAUCAAAACACAGUGAGCGUACAAGGUGUUGUCGAAAGAGAAAAAUGCGAUACAACCAGAGAUAGUUCGAAGGUGCAUAUCAUAGACAACGGUAUUAAGCAAUAUCCAUGCACAUAAGCGGUUACGUGCGGGAACCGGUUCUCCUGAAUUGUUACACUUGAAAGGACGAAAUGGCACAAGGUGAAAGUAGAAUGAUAAAAGAAAAAUUCAGACUUUGCAACGCGAAAAUCAGCCGCUGAAAUAUCGAGAGACACGUGUAACCUGACUGUGAAAAAAAUGCCUGCCUUGUUCGAUUAUAAUUUCGAGAAUAAUUCUGUAAUUAGUUACGAGUCGUCAACUAACCUAAUUCAUGGCUGAUCGUGUCUUGCGAUUACGUGUUUGACGUGAAUGUAACUGUAAAAAAUAAACACGUAUCAUUACCUUGUCAUAAACAAAAACGUCAUACAGCACAGACGUUUAUUAAUAAACUGUUUACAAUGGCUGUACCUAACAAGUGGGAGAAUGCUUGUAGAUUAUGUUCAGAGGUGAGAAAUGAGAUGCUACCAAUCUUUGGUGACGAAGGGGUACAACGCAAAGUGGCACAGAAGUUACGUGCUUGCCUACCAGUUUUAGUAUACAAAACGGAUCCACUGCCAAAGCAAAUAUGUCAGUUCUGCGCUGCAAGGCUGGACGAUGCUUACGAGUUUAGAGAAUAUUGCCUGAGUGUUUAUAAAAGCAUGCACUUGAAACUGUUAGCAUAUAAGAAUAUUGAAUCUGUUCAGAUUUAUUUGGAGGCAAUGAAAAACUCCCCUGACCCUUGUCAGGCACAGUUAUGGAAAGAUAAGGCUAGAGCACCACCACCUUUAGUACCUUUGCCCAUUACACUGCCAGUUGAAAACCCAUUAGUACCAAUAAAUCUUAGUCGAGUUCAUUCAAGCAAUUGUGUUGAGUUACCUGAAUUACCAUGUGAAGUAGAAAUCAAAGAAAUGGUUACAGAACCAAUAUUGGGAACAGCGAAUACGUAUGAGUCAUUGAAUAAAAAUAAUGUAGAAAAUAAGCUAUACAAAGAUGUAGUAACAGAAGAUAACAUGGAACCAUUGAUAGAAGAAGGCAUUGAUUCCAAACAGAAUAUUCAAAUGCAGAAGGAAGAAAAACGUACAAGUAUUUUGGAGCAAGUACUAAUGGGUAGUUUGACAGUGAAUGAUAGGAAAGACUUAAAUUCACAGCCAAAGCUGUCAUCAAAGUGGUGGUGUGCACCUUGUAAUAGUUACUAUAAAACAAAAGAGAGCUUGAUAAAACAUAUGCAGUUAGAUUGCCCAAGAAAAUAUUCCUGUAGAAAAUGUUCUACAUGUUUUGAAUUAGUGGAGGACUUAGCUAAGCAUGAAGCUACCGAUCAUUUAAAAGUGACACUGGAUUUUGAUACGAGUGUUAAAGAGUGUGACCAAUGCGACAGACAAUUUGUGAGGUGGGAGAUGUUAAAGCAACAUAGAUUACGUGAUCAUUUGGCUCAAGCAAAUGAAAUUGGGACCAAUACACGAUGUUCUUUGUGCAAUAGAUUCUUUUUGAGCAUGGAAGAAUAUCAGAAUCAUACUCAAUUACAUGAAAUCAGUGAUGACGAGACAGCAAAUACAUCACAAAUAACAGACCAGCAAUUAGUUAAAGUUGUUAAAAACGAUGAACCUUCAAAGGAAGUAAAGAAAGAUCAUUUUGUAGAAGCUACUAAAUCUCUCACAUGUCCUACUUGUGGAAAAAUCUGUACUCAGCAAAGUGCAUUGUCAAAUCACAUGCGAACUCAUGAACCUAAAAGACAUAAAUGUGAUAUAUGUGGACGUUCAUUUGGACUCUUCAUACGUCUAGCAGCACACAGAAUGAGUGAACAUAACCAACAAUCUACGGUAUCGCCUGUAAUGGCAAGCGUUGAGCAAGAAGAAGCAUUAAAUGCUGAGAGAGAGGCCAGAGAAGCAAGAGAAGCUAGAACUCGUUCCAGGAGAAACAGAACUUAUUCAGAGAUGAUAGAAAGAGAAGAUAUUCCUAAUCAUGAAGAACCACCACCAAAAAGAAGAAGUGUAAAUAAUAGUACUUUUAAAAAUGUGGCAAGAUGCGGUAUAUGUUUGCAAUGGUUCAGUGAUCAUACUACGAUGUUAACGCAUUUACAAACGCAUUCAGAUAACUACACUUGUAAAAAUUUCACGUGUCAUAUAUGUAAAAAAUCUUUCAAAGAAAAGUGGCAGUUGCUCAGACAUGAGGUAUCACACAAACGUAAUGAACCCACAACAAUGUACGUGUGCAGUGUAUGCAAUAAAUCAUUUCUGGAUAAAAAUACGUAUAAGACGCAUCAAAAAACGCACAUCCUUGAUAAAACAUAUCAUUGUUCAAAGUGUAACAAAAUAUUUUUCAAAGAAGUGUCAAUGUUAACGCACCAAUGUACAUCAGAUACACUGCUCGGUAAAAAGGGAGCUUCCUCGAAAUCGGUACAAAAGUCUACUUCGUUAAGUAACAAUAAAAAAUACAAAUGUUCCAAAUGCAAUGCGUCCUUCAGUAGUUUUCAAUCAAAGAAUUCUCAUAUGAGGAUACACACGGAAGAAUCGCAAGCAACUGAGCGAACGCAAGAUCUAAAGGCAGAGUCUGAGGAUGAACCUAUGCCAAAAUUAACUCCUGAAACUUCAUUAGAAUAUCCAAUACCUAUUGAACCAAAAGUGGAAAUAAAAGAAGAAAGUGCGCCACCUCCAGUAAAACGAACUCUUAUUAGGACAACUGGCGGGUAUCGAUGUGGGGUGUGCCAAUCUCCAUUCGUCCUACGCGAAUUAGCUGUAGCGCACUUGAGAUCUGCACAUCCUCUUAUGCCAUAUCAGUGUCCUUAUUGUAAAAAGCGGUUUACUACACAGUAUACGUUCACUCAUCAUAUUAAAACCGAACAUCCUGAUGAACACGAGAAUUGAAUAACAUAAAAUAUAGUUAGCUUUAAUAUGCCAAAUGGUUCUUAUACUAUAAAAAUAUGCCUUGAGUAUGAGAUAACUUUUGUUUAUACAUAAGAUAUAUAUAUACAUAUAGAUAUAUAUAAAAAACAGUUUUUAGUUUUGUACUGAACUGUAUCAUUUGAUAAUCUGGCAUACUAGUUCCUGAACAAAUAAUUGGCCUUAAAUAAAGUUUUGUAGUUCUGUUUCAUGAAAAGCGAAAAAUACUAUAAAGGAGACUGGAAUUAGGACUAGUACUUACAUUGAACGUGCCUCGUUAAGUACUGUGUCAUAGCGCUACACACCUUUUUAGUCGAAUCGAUUUUUAAAUACCGAAGAGAAGAUAUCGUAUUAGAUAUUAUACGUGCCGGUAGUGAUAGUUUUAUGGAAUCUUAUAAAAAUGUUAUUUGUUUAUAUGUUCGCUAGUGUUAAAAAAAACAUUC
rnacentral:misc_RNA from 1 species